rnacentral:rRNA from 1 species
GGCAGAGGGGGCAAGCGUUGCUCGGAAUCACUGGGCGUAAAGGGCGCGUAGGCGGGAUGGCAAGUCGGUCGUGAAAUCCUUCGGCUCAACCGAAGAACGUCGGCCGAUACUGCCGUUCUUGAGGGAUGCAGAGGAGAUUGGAAUUCCCGGUGUAGCGGUGAAAUGUGUAGAGAUCGGGAGGAACACCGGUGGCGAAGGCGGGUCUCUGGGCAUCUCCUGACGCUGAGGCGCGAAAGCGUGGGGAGCGAACAGG